UACGUAGGGAGCAAGCGUCGUCCGGAAUCAUUGGGCGUAAAGCGCGCGUAGGCGGCGCGGUAAGUCGGGUGUGAAAUCUCGGAGCUUAACUCCGAAACUGCAUUCGAUACUGCCGUGCUUGAGGACUGGAGAGGAGACUGGAAUUUACGGUGUAGCGGUGAAAUGCGUAGAUAUCGUAAGGAAGACCAGUGGCGAAGGCGGGUCUCUGGACAGUUCCUGACGCUGAGGCACGAAGGUCAGGGGAGCAAACGGG
rnacentral:rRNA from 1 species